rnacentral:rRNA from 1 species
AAUCCAUAGGUUAAUGAGGCGAACCGGGGGAACUGAAACAUCUAAGUACCCCGAGGAAAAGAAAUCAACCGAGAUUCCCCCAGUAGCGGCGAGCGAACGGGGAGGAGCCCAGAGCCUGAAUCAGCAUGUGUGUUAGUGGAAGCGUCUGGAAAGGCGCGCGAUACAGGGUGACAGCCCCGUACACAAAAGCGCAUGUGCUGUGAGCUCGAUGAGUAGGGCGGGACACGUGGUAUCCUGUCUGAAUAUGGGGGGACCAUCCUCCAAGGCUAAAUACUCCUGACUGACCGAUAGUGAACCAGUACCGUGAGGGAAAGGCGAAAAGAACCCCGGCGAGGGGAGUGAAAAAGAACCUGAAACCGUGUACGUACAAGCAGUGGGAGCCCCACCACCAAAGCAUUCUCUGGUGUUGAAGGCCCUGCAAAGCAGCAUCGCGGUGGCGGAGCGUCGUUUGCGACGCCC